CUCUAGUCUCGUCCUUCGAUGGUGGCAAAUUGAGAACCGGCGAUGGUGGUGCUAGCGCGAGGCGGGCGGCGCCGCGAGCUCUCAUCCCGAGGAAGUCGCGGGAGGCUCGAGAUGGAGAUGGUCGCGCCAGCGGUCUUUUGAGCAGCGUCGCCUAACGAGCUCCACGCACGAGGAGGUGUCUCCAUGGUCCACGAGCGUGCGCAGCCACGUCCCCUCGCUAACGUCGGCCUCGCCGCAAAAGAGGGUUAGCCCGCCCAGGCUACCGGUCAAGUUACGUCUAGAGGCGAGGAGGGGGAGCAGCCACGCCCAGAGGAGGUCGUUCUCGGCGCUCGCAUCCUCGUCGUCGACCUUGCCCAAACGGCAGGUCGCUGCUGCUGGCCGAGGUCGCCCAGGUCAUCACCGCCCCCGCCGGCCUGCAGCUCAUCCUACCCAAAGGCAGGAUGAAUGCAAGACGGCUUGCAUAGUUCUCAGACUGGAAUAUGUGGAAUGUGCUAUGUGCCCAACAUCUCUAUCUACUCCACUGUGAUCUAACUCAAUGUCAAAGAAUCACAUAAUACAUUUGUGUGAAGGAGGUGCAAGAACCUACUUAUCUUGCAAUAGAAAGUACUGCAAGACAUGUUUAUCCAGAGAAUAUUGUGUUGGAUGCUUGCUUCAAAUUGGCUAAUCUAACUCUUCUAAUAGAUAAUUUACUGGCCAAUCAGCAGUGUUAUGUAUUUCGACCAAUGUCAGCUAAUUUCCAGCUAUAAACAGGCAAGUAUAAUUUAAUCUUCAUUUUCAUGGACUUGAAUCUGAAUAUAUUUUGGUUUAGUACAUUAUCUAAACUAUUACUUUUGGGGUUUGCUAUGAGGCAUUGGGUUUUAAAUACUUUCUUAAGAGUUGUGUGAAAUAGCGUUUAUUCCAAGAAAUUGCAAUAUAUAUAGUGCUAAUUUCUUUUAUAUUUUUAUUUUAAAAAUUGUUCCUCGACACUUCAAACUUAGAAUUUUCACAAUUAACUCUUAAAUCGGAAAUUAGCUGCCAUGGCCUGAAUUAUCAUGGAUCGAGUGUGUUUUUUGAAAGAUUUUUCUAUUGACAAUCCUUUUAUAUGUUUACCUUCUAGGAAGUAUGUGCAUUCCUUCUUGCAGACAGAUAUGUUAUGUCAAUGAACACGAGGAGGAAUUGUUGCUUGUAUAGCUUUGUUCUACAUGGAUGAUAGUUUUCUCGGGUUGUUGAAUGUUGGAAACGUGGAUUCUCAGUCACAAAAUACAUAGCAGACCUUUGGAUCCAUGGAUGUAGCCGGCAAGGGCGCCAUCAACCUGGGCUACCUUAGAGCUUAGGCAACCAUGCUGUAUUUGAUGUGAACAGUUCAUAACUUCAUAUCAAUAGCUCGAUUAACUUGUCUGUGUCUCAUGUGUGGUUGAAUACUAAUUCUAAGUUUCUAACCCUAUUGCAGUCUGUGCUACCAUUUGAUCUAAAAAACUGAACCAUGAAAGGUUCGCUGUUAAAUCAGUAUGCGACAUGGUGACGGUUGCAAGAUACUGGAAUGUCACAAUCAUCGUGCCGUACAUGGAUAAAACUUCAUUUUGGGUUGCCCAGUUCAGCAUUUCUUUCUGCAGUCAAUGCAAUUCUUAACAUUUCAGUUAAGGACUGCCUUUGUCUUACCCUUUUCUCUUCCUUUCCCUACAGUGAGUUCCGAGAUAUAUUUGAUGUAUACUACUUCAUAGCAUCAUUGAAAGGUGAGGUCCGGAUACUACAAGAGCUGCUUCCAAGGCUGAAAAGGAGAGUUGAAUAGGGCUAUCUUUGCUCCUUGCCGCCCUUCAGUUGGUCUGAUACAUCCUAUUACCAUAAUCAUGUUUCUUUGCAUCUCUCCAUUUCUCGUGAUGUAUCUAAAUCAUAUGCGUACCCAAAUAAAUAUUGUAAGUAGUAAUUUAUGGGAAAACAUAUUUUACCAAUGAUAAAGAAGUACAUGAUCCUUCAUAUGAAUAAAACACGUGCACGGCCUGAAAAUAAUGGGCUACCCACGGAGAUUCAGAAACCGAGGUGCCAUUUCAGUUUUCAUGCACUUGGAUUUACCCCCUGAAAUAGAAGAGUUGGGCAGGUGUGUGGUUCAAAUUCUUCGUCGGAAUGGACCCUUUUGUGGUUCUCCACUUGCGGUAUGAGAUGGACAUACUUGCCUUCUCUGGGUGUACACAUGGUAGCAGGAAAGAUAAGGCUGGGGAGGUUAGAAGGAUGAGAUAUUGCAGUUCUGGCAAGUGGAUCUGCACAAACGAGUAUGUGUUUGACUGUGCAGGUGAUAAGGGAGCUGAAGCUGCUGGACAACGGCGAUCUUGCAGAGGUCAUCACAAUCCUUGUUCCGAAUAGGUCCGUCGGGUUUAGCAUCCCUUGCCUUGCUGCACUCUCCUGGAAGGUCUAUCUCUUAUGGAUGGAUGGUCACAUGGGAGUAAUCAGUUGACUAGCUAUGAAGAUUGCUGAGAUUGACAAAAACGCAAAAAUGAUCCAGUCGAUGGAACUAUUAUAAAACUCCUGAAGGAGGUAACCCUUUACAAAAGGGUGCAAAUGUUACUGUCUCCUGCUAUAUUUGACAGUAAAAAACCAGUCAACAAGUAGUCAACUAUUCUUGAUUGAAAGUCUGCAAGUAGUCAAGUGGUCUUACGGAAGGCCAUUCUAGAAGAUCUUUGCUUGUUGUAGCUAUAUAGUUUACCUCGAUUUUUUGCCAGUAGCUAGCACCGUAUUUUAAUCUUUGUGGCUUUGGCAAGGAUUUUUUUGUCCGCUCUUUUUCUUGUACGAAAUUAACUCCUUUGACUCUGAUGCGAUUAAGCUUUGUUAUAAUAAUAUGUUGAGAGCAGGCUA